rnacentral:rRNA from 1 species
GACGAACGCUGGCGGCGUGCUUAACACAUGCAAGUCGAACGGUGAAGGGGUCUGCUUUUGUGGGCCCUGGAUGAGUGGCGAACGGGUGAGUAACACGUGAGUAACCUGCCCCCUUCUUCUGGAUAACCGCAUGAAAGUGUGGCUAAUACGGGAUAUUCUGGGUCUGUCGCGUGAUGGGUCUGGGAAAGAUUGCGCCUUUGGGUGUUUUUGGUGGGGGAUGGGCUCGCGGCCUAUCAGCUUGUUGGUGGGGUGAUGGCCUACCAAGGCGGUGACGGGUAGCCGGCCUGAGAGGGUGGACGGUCACACUGGGACUGAGACACGGCCCAGACUCCUACGGGAGGCAGCAGUGGGGAAUAUUGCACAAUGGGCGCAAGCCUGAUGCAGCGACGCCGCGUGAGGGAUGGAGGCCUUCGGGUUGUAAACCUCUUUCGCCAGUGAAGCAGGCCUGCUCCUUGUGGGUGGGUUGACGGUAGCUGGAUAAGAAGCGCCGGCUAACUACGUG